rnacentral:rRNA from 1 species
AACGUAGGUUCCGAGCGUUAUCCGGAUUUACUGGGCGUAAAGCGCGUUCAGGCGGUUUGGCAAGUCGGGCAUGAAAUCUCUCGGCUCAACCGGGAGAGGUUGUCCGAUACUUCCAGACUUGAGGGCAGUAGAGGGUGGUGGAAUUCCGGGUGUAGUGGUGAAAUGCGUAGAUAUCGGGAGGAACACCAGUGGCGAAGGCGACUACCUGGCCUGUUCUUGACGCUGAGGCGCGAAAGCUAGGGGAGCAAACGGG